rnacentral:ncRNA from 5 species
GACCUCAAAUCAGGUAGGACUACCCGCUGA